rnacentral:rRNA from 1 species
AUACGUAGGUGGCAAGCGUUGUCCGGAAUUAUUGGGCGUAAAGCGCGCGCAGGCGGGAUAUCAAGUCUAUCUUAAAAGUUCGGGGCUCAACCCCGUGAUGGGAUAGAAACUGGUAUUCUUGAGUAUCGGAGAGGAAAGUGGAAUUCCCAGUGUAGCGGUGAAAUGCGUAGAUAUUGGGAGGAACACCAGUGGCGAAGGCGACUUUCUGGACGAUGUCUGACGCUGAGGCGCGAAAGCCAGGGAAGUGAACGGGAUUAGAUACCCCGGUAAUCCUGGCCGUAAACGAUGGGUACUAGGUGUAGAGGGUAUCGACCCCUUCUGUGCCGGAGUUAACGCAAUAAGUACCCCGCCUGGGGAGUACGGCCGCAAGGUUGAA